rnacentral:sRNA from 1 species
UGGCUGUCGUCAGCUCGUGUCGUGAGAUGUUGGGUUAAGUCCCGCAACGAGCGCAACCCUUAUCCUAUGUUGCCAGCACGUAAUGGUGGGAACUCAUGGGAGACUGCCGUGGAUAACACGGAGGAAGGUGGGGAUGACGUCAAGUCAUCAUGCCCCUUAUGUCUUGGGCUACACACGUACUACAAUGGGCUUUAAUAGAGGGUAGCGAAGCCGCGAGGUGAAGCCAAACCCAAAAACAAGCUCUCAGUUCGGAUUGCAGGCUGCAACUCGCCUGCAUGAAGUCGGAAUCGCUAGUAAUCGCAGAUCAGCAUGCUGCGGUGAAUACGUUCCCGGGCCUUGUACACACCGCCCGUCACACCACGAAAGUUGAGAGCACCCGAACGCCGGUGAGGUAACCCAGCAUGGAACCAGCCGUCGAAGGUGAGAUCAGUGAUUGGGGUGAAGUCGUAACAAGGUAGCCGUAUCGGAAGGUGCGGCUGGAUCACCUCCUUUCUAUGGAGAUUUGAAUCAUUGAAAUACAUGGUUCUAAUCCAAGGUCGACACAUCUGGUUGUUCAUCUACUUACAUUGCUUAGUUUUGAGGGAAUACAUCCUUGUUGCUACAAGAAAUUGUAGUGAUAAAAAUGUAGUACCUUAUAUGUUCUUUGAAAACUGCACAGAAGAAAGCAAAGUAAUAAUUCUAAUAGCAAUAUUAGGGUGAUUACCGAGCAUGUUAGGAUUUUUUAAAAAACGUAUGAUCCUUUUGGGAUUGUACACCACUAAUGAUUGUUCAUUUAUGAGCAGUCAAUUAGCGAGACAUAAGUCAAGCUAAUAAGGGCAUACGGUGGAUGCCUUGGCA